rnacentral:misc_RNA from 1 species
GAAAUGCGAUAAUUAAUGUGAAUUGCAGAAUUCAGUGAAUCAUCGAGUCUUUGAACGCACAUUGCGCCCCCUGGUAUUCCGGGGGGCAUGCCUGUCCGAGCGUCAUUGCUGCCCUCAAGCACGGCUUGUGUGUUGGGCUUCCGUCCCUGGCAACGAGGACGGGCCCAAAAGGCAGUGGCGGCACCAUGUCUGGUCCUCGAGCGUAUGGGGCUUUGUCACCCGCUCCCGUAGGUCCAGCUGGCAGCUAGCCUCGCAACCAAUCUUUUUAACCAGGUUGACCUCGGAUCAGGUAGGGAUACCCGCUGAACUUAAGC